AGCCUGAAGAGACGAGAUUUUAGGUGAGCCCUGCCUAGCGACACUAAGUCUAGCGGCCGCAGUACCUUGACUGUGCUAAGGUAGCGUAAUAAUUUGUCCUUCAAUUAAGGUCUUGAAUGAACGGGUCUACGAGAAAUAUUCUGUCUCCUGUAUAAAUUCUGUAGAAGUUGCUAAAAAGGUGAAAAUUCCUUUAGUAAAAGAAAAUAGACGAGAAGACCCUUAGAAUUUUGAUAAAGAUUAUUAACCAAGUGAUAGUUUAGUUUUCGUUGGGGCGACGAGGUAGCAGAACCAGAGAACCUACCUAUUAAAAUUAGAUGAACCGAAUUUUAUUAUAUAUAGCUAAAAUUACCUAAGGGAUAACAGCAUAAUACUUGAUAGUGUUUGUGACCUCGAUGUUGGACUAGGGACUGAUUGGUUAACCACCAGGAUAGAUGAUUCUGUUCGAAUUCCACACCCU
rnacentral:rRNA from 1 species